UAGAAAGAGAACACCGAGGUUUAGUACUGCUGUGGGGCGAAUGGUAUAAGAAGGGAGCCUGUCCUCAAUAUGGGAUGCAACACGAUAUGAUGAAGCUCUGUCAUCAAUAAAGUAGCAGCAGUUACUGAUCCUAAAAGAACCCUGGUGUCCGUGUGGUCGUUACCCCACAAAUGGCACCCGAACAGGGAUCUGAAGAAAACAAACAGGGACAUGAACAACAGGAACAGGGACAGGCUAACAGAACAGGGACCAGGACAGGAACAGGGACAUUGAUCGCCUAAUGAAGAUGGGUUCGGCCAAACUCAGCAAACCGCUCUAAGAAGCUCGUACAGAAAGUCGCUGGAAAUAAGGGCACCGGAGCUGGAAGGAAGCUCAA